rnacentral:rRNA from 1 species
CAGUCGAGGGGUAUUUAUCUUCGGAUAGAGAGACCGGCGCACGGGUGCGUAACGCGUAUGCAAUCUACCUUUUGCAGAGGGAUAGCCCAGAGAAAUUUGGAUUAAUACCUCAUAGUAUAUAGAGUUGGCAUCAACACAAUAUUAAAGUCACAACGGCAAAAGAUGAGCAUGCGUCCCAUUAGCUAGUUGGUAAGGUAACGGCUUACCAAGGCUACGAUGGGUAGGGGUCCUGAGAGGGAGAUCCCCCACACUGGUACUGAGACACGGACCAGACUCCUACGGGAGGCAGCAGUGAGGAAUAUUGGACAAUGGGCGCAAGCCUGAUCCAGCCAUGCCGCGUGCAGGAUGACGGUCCUAUGGAUUGUAAACUGCUUUUGCACAGGAAGAAACAACGCUACGUGUAGCGCCUUGACGGUACUGUGAGAAUAAGGAUCGGCUAACUCCGUGCCAGCAGCCGCGGUAAUACGGAGGAUCCAAGCGUUAUCCGGAAUCAUUGGGUUUAAAGGGUCCGUAGGCGGUUUAGUAAGUCAGUGGUGAAAGCCCAUCGCUCAACGGUGGAACGGCCAUUGAUACUGCUAGACUUGAAUUAUUAGGAAGUAACUAGAAUAUGUAGUGUAGCGGUGAAAUGCUUAGAGAUUACAUGGAAUACCAAUUGCGAAGGCAGGUUACUACUAAUGGAUUGACGCUGAUGGACGAAAGCGUGGGUAGCGAACAGGAUUAGAUACCCUGGUAGUCCACGCCGUAAACGAUGGAUACUAGCUGUUGGGAGCGAUCUCAGUGGCUAAGCGAAAGUGA